UACGGAAGGCAGCAGUGGGGAAUAUUGCACAAUGGGCGAAAGCCUGAUGCAGCUAUGCCGCGUGUAUGAAGAAGGCCUUAGGGUUGUAAAGUACUUUCAUCGGGGAGGAAAAAACAAAACUAAUAAUUUUAUUUCUUGACGUUACCCGAAAAAGAAGCACCGGCUAACUCCGUGCCAGCAGCCGCGGUAAUACGGAGGGUGCUAGCGUUAAUCAGAAUUACUGGGCGUAAAGAGCACGUAGGUGGUUUUUUUAAGUCAGAUGUGAAAUCCCUGGGCUUAACCUAGGAACUGCAUUUUGAAACUGAAAUACUAGAGUAUCGUAGAGGGAGGUAGAAUUCUAGGUGUAGCGGCGAAAUGCGUAGAUAUCUGGAGGAAUACCUGUGGCGAAAGCGGCCUCCUAAACGAAUACUGACACUGAGGGUGCGAAAGCGUGGGGAGCAAACAGGGAUUAGAUACC
rnacentral:rRNA from 1 species